rnacentral:rRNA from 1 species
CCUACGGGAGGCAGCAGUGGGAAAUAUUGCACAAUGGGCGAAAGCCUGAUGCAGCUAUGCCGCGUGUAUGAAGAAGGCCUUAGGGUUGUAAAGUACUUUCAGCAGGGAGGAAAGAAAUAAAACUAAUAAUUUUAUUUUGUGACGUUACCUGAAGAAGAAGCACCGGCUAACUCCGUGCCAGCAGCCGCGGUAAU